GACGAACGCUGGCGGCGUGCUUAACACAUGCAAGUCGAACGCUGAAGCUCAGCUUUUGUUGGGUGGAUGAGUGGCGAACGGGUGAGUAACACGUGAGUAACCUGCCCCCUUCUUUGGGAUAACGCCCGGAAACGGGUGCUAAUACUGGAUAUUCACUGGUCUUCGCAUGGGGGCUGGUGGAAAGGGUUUUUCUGGUGGGGGAUGGGCUCGCGGCCUAUCGGCUUGUUGGUGGGGUGAUGGCCUACCAAGGCUUUGACGGGUAGCCGGGCUGAGAGGGUGACCGGGCACAUUGGGACUGAGAUACGGCCCAGACUCCUACGGGGGGCAGCAGUGGGGAAUAUGGCACAAUGGGCGCAAGCCUGAUGCAGCGACGCUGCGUGAGGGAUGGGGGCCUUCGGGUUGUGAACCUCUUUCGCUCAUGGUCAAGCCGCAACAAUGGUUGUGGUGAGGGUAGUGGGUAAAGAAGCGCCGGCUAACUACGUG
rnacentral:rRNA from 1 species